rnacentral:rRNA from 1 species
GUACGGGGGGGGGCAAGCGUUGUUCGGAAUUACUGGGCGUAAAGGGCGCGUAGGCGGUUCGCUAAGUUGGAUGUGAAAACUCUGGGCUCAACCCAGAGCCUGCAUCCAAAACUGGCGGGCUAGAGUUCUGGAGGGGGUAGCGGAAUUCCUGGUGUAGCGGUGAAAUGCGUAGAUAUCAGGAGGAACACCGGUGGCGAAGGCGGCUACCUGGACAGAAACUGACGCUGAGGCGCGAAAGCUAGGGGAGCAAACAGG